rnacentral:snoRNA from 1 species
GAGUUAGUGAUGAUUAUAAAAAUAAUUUCUUAUUCUAACUUACUUAAUUUGGACAUGACAAAUCUCUUAUUAUAACCAUAGAAUUUGAGCUCC